rnacentral:rRNA from 1 species
UACAGAGGUCCCAAGCGUUGUUCGGAUUCACUGGGCGUAAAGGGUGCGUAGGUGGUGAGGUAAGUUCGAUGUGAAAUCUCCGGGCUCAACUCGGAAAAUGCAUUGAAGACUCUCUCACUUGAGGUUUGGAAGGGGGAUUGGAAUUCUCGGUGUAGCAGUGAAAUGCGUAGAUAUCGAGAGGAACACCAGUGGCGAAGGCGAAUCCCUGGACAACACCUGACACUGAGGCACGAAAGCUAGGGGAGCAAACAGG